rnacentral:rRNA from 1 species
UGAGUAACACGUAAGUAAUCUACCCUCGAGUGGGGAAUAACGUUCGGAAACGGACGCUAAUACCGCAUAACGCAGCGGCACCGCAAGGUGACAGUUGUUAAAGGAGCAAUCCGCUUGAGGAGGAGCUUGCGGCAGAUUAGCUAGUUGGUAGGGUAAUGGCUUACCAAGGCUACGAUCUGUAUCCGGUCUAAGAGGACGGUCGGACACACUGACACUGAAUAACGGGUCAGACUCCUACGGGAGGCAGCAGUCGGGAAUUUUGGGCAAUGGGCGAAAGCCUGACCCAGCAACGCCGCGUGAAGGAUGAAGUAUUUCGGUAUGUAAACUUCGAAAGAAUAGGAAGAAUAAAUGACGGUACUAUUUAUAAGCUCCGGCUAACUACGUGCCAGCAGCCGCGGUAAUACGUAGGGAGCAAGCGUUGUUCGGAUUUACUGGGCGUUAAGGGCGCGUAGGCGGCGCGGUAAGUCACUUGUGAAAUCUCUGAGCUUAACUCAGAACGGCCAAGUGAUCCUGCAGUGCUAGAGUGCAGAAAGGGCCAUCGGAAUUCUUGGUGUAGCGGUGGAAAUGCGUAGAUAUCAAAGAGGAACACUUGAGUCGAAGUCGGUUUGCUAGGCUGACACUGACGCUGAGGCGCGAAAGCCAAGGGGAGCAAACGGGAUUAGAUACCACGGUAGUCCUGGCCCUAAACGAUGAAUACUUGGUGUCUGGAGUUUCAAUACUCCGGGUGCCGUCGCUAACGUUUUAAGUAUUCCGCCUGGGGAGUACGCUCGCAAGAGUGAAACUCAAAGGAAUGACGGGACCCGCA